rnacentral:rRNA from 1 species
GACGAACGCUGGCGGCAUGCCUAACACAUGCAAGUCGAGCGAGUAGAUCCCUUCGGGGUGAAGCUAGCGGCGGACGGGUGAGUAACACGUGGGCAACCUGCCUCAUAGAGGGGAAUAGCCUUCCGAAAGGAAGAUUAAUACCGCAUAAGAUUGUAGCUUCGCAUGAAGCAGCAAUUAAAGGAGCAAUCCGCUAUGAGAUGGGCCCGCGGCGCAUUAGCUAGUUGGUGAGGUAACGGCUCACCAAGGCGACGAUGCGUAGCCGACCUGAGAGGGUGGUCGGCCACAUUGGGACUGAGAAACGGCCCAGACUCCUACGGGAGGCAGCAGUGGGGAAUAUUGCACAAUUGGGGAAACCCUGAUGCAGCAAUGCCGCGUGAGUGAUGACGGCCUUCGGGUUGUAAAGCUCUGUCUUCGGGGACGAUAAUGACGGUACCCGAGGAGGAAGCACGGCUAACUACGUGCCAGCAGCCGCCGCAG